UGAUUUAGAUGGUAGGUUUUCAUAUUUGGAUAUGUAGGUAUGGCGGUUUAUAUGGUGGAGGGAUAUAGGAGAUGGCAGUGGGGAGUAGGAGGGGUUGGUGUGCGACGGUUGCUGGGGAAAAUAGAGAGAUAAAGAAGAAGAUUGUUGUAAAAGAAUAAACAUGUGGAGCCCACUAACUAUUCAUUACUAUUCAUUUGGAGACUUUUGGUAGAGUUUGUCUGUCACGGGUGAAUAGUGAAUAGUGAUGAAUAGUGAUUAUUUCAGCCUAUAAAUAAGAAGAGAAACGGAAAGAGAAGGGAAGAAAAAAAGAAGAGGAAAGAAAACAAAGAAAAAAGGAAACGGAGAGAAGAAAAGGAAAGAAGGAAAGAGAGAAGAAAAGGAAAGGAGGAAAGAGAGAAGAAAAGGAAAGAAGGAAAGAGAAGAGGAAAGAGAAAGGAGGAAAGAAAAGAGGAAAGAGAGUCAGGCAGAGAAGAGGAAGAGAAGGAAGAAAUAGGGUGAGUGAGCAGAGAGAAAAUUCAGUGAGCCACACAUAUUGUAAACACUAAAGUUGUAGCCCUAUUAUUUUACAUAGUGGAAAAGUUACUAUUGCUGCUCUCCGGGGACGUAGGCAUAGCCGAACCUCGUUAAAUACUGUGUCUCAUCUACUUUACGUGCAGCUCAAUAUUCGCACAUAUUCCAGGUCAUUUUGUAACACGUUAUCAGCACGAGAAGCUCUCAGGUAUAAUUUUUGUGCUGCACUAUUAUUUAUACUACUAACCAUUAUGUUGAUGUAAAGAAGAAAAGCCAACGCAUCUAGCUUUCCACUAAUAUAUCAGUAUAAAAUAUAUAUAUAUAUAUUAUAUAUGAAAAGUUGAUGGUAAUAUAAUAUACUAUAUUUAUCUGCUUUUCUAUUACUAACCAUUAAUAAAAAUGGACCCUUGGUAAUACUAAACAUAUUAUCAGUGGGAGACCGUUACUAAUACUAACACUUUCCUUAUCUUGUUCAGUGGUGGUUUUUAUUCCCACAUUUAUUUUAUUUACUGUAUGGUGUAGGUUUAUUACCCAUACGACAGUAUUUAUUUAAAAGGGUGGUGCAGGUUUAUCGCCCACGCCUUUGCUUUUAUUUAAAUGUAUGGAGCAGAAUUAGUGCCCAUACAAGCACGUUUACUUUAUCGCAAAUUUACUUUUACUUAAAGUAUUAUUUAUGGUAUGGUGUAGGUUUAUUACCCAUACGGCAAUAUUUAUUUAAAGGGUGGUGCGGGUUUAUCGUCCACGCCUUUGCUUUUAUUUAAAUGUAUGGAGCAGAAUUAGUGCCCAUACAAGCACGUUUACUUUACCGCACAUUUAAUUUUAUUUAAGGUAUGGUGCGGGAUUAACGUCCAUACAGCAAGCUUUUAAUUUUAUUUAAGGUAUGGUGCGGGAUUUACGUCCAUACAGCAAGCAAUUUAAUUUAUGAAUUUAAUUUACUGCACAUUUACAUUUAUUUAAAAGGGUGGUGCGGGUUUAUCGUCCACGCCUUUACUUUUAUUUAAAUGUAUGGUGCGGGUUUAUCGUCCAUACCAGUAAUUUAUUUACCAGCAAUUUAUUUUAUGGAUUAAUUGUGCUGUAUGAUGAGUUUUUACAGUAUGCAGAUCAGGACCAGAAGUUCCUUGAUCCUCAUCAUACAAUUACAUCAGGACUUGAAGAUCCUUGAUGAUGAUAUUAAUAUGAGAGCUGGCAGUCUCUCCGGUACUGUAUUUGUAAACAUGUGAUCGAAAUUAAGGGUCCUUGAUCCCUGACAUGUAAAUAAGGACCUAGAGUUCCUUAAUGAUGUAACAGUACCGUAUUGGUUCAUAGUGCCGUACACAUUGAUGAUAACUGUACUGGCAGAUGAAUAGAUACGUAUUCAUGACUUGAUGAAUAGUACUAUUCACAUGAAUAGUGACGUAUGCAUAAAUAUGAACCAUUUUGGGUAAACCGUCACUAUAUACAAAAGGGAACCUGCAGUUUCAUAGUGCCGUACACAUUGAUGAUAACUGUACUGGCAGAUGAAUAGAUACGUAUUCAUGACUUGAUGAAUAGUACUAUUUACAUGAAUAGUGACGUAUGCAUAAAUAUGAACCAUUUUGGGUAAACCGUCACUAUAUACAAAAGGGAACCUGCAGUUCCUUAAACUCAUGAAUGAACAAUUAAAUGAGAUGCCAGAAGUUCCUCAAAAUAUGGACAAUUAUGUAAGGGCUUGAAGUCCCGAAAUAUGUACAGAAAAUUGUAAAAAUGUCAAUACCAUGAGAAUAUGUGGCUUUGGCCUGAAGUUCAAAAUUUAACAGUGUUGAGAACCUGAAGUUCCAACAAUUAAAUGGACAACCCUUGAGGUAUUAUUGCAAAUUGUGGUAUGCCACAUAUUUCUUUAGCAUAAGAAGAUGAUGAAUUUAAAGUUCGAUUUUGUUAUAAUCGACACCUCAAGGAAGAAAUAUAUUUUGUGAAUUCCGGUUGUUUAGAAUACACCGCGAAAUAGAUAAUAUCAAUAUAAACCUCAAAUAAUGAAUUGAGGCUCCCCACAUAUUUGGUUAUAUCUGGGCCGGAAGCCCAUGGAUCCAAAUAUAUGAGAGAUCCUAAACUUGAAGUUGUGGGUAUAUAGUAGUUAAUGCUCUUCACUACUAUAUUGCGAUAUUAUCAUGGCUUUUACUCAAUUCACAUUUCAUGUCCAUUUGAAAAGGGCAAAUAAAUUCUGAGUUUGUGCCCAGGCCAAAAGUUCUGGGCUACCAUGCAAUUUGGGAGAGACAAUGUGGUUAUUUGAACCUAUAAGGCACAAGGUUCCAAACCGUCAUUUUGAAAAGACGUAAAAACCACAGGUGCAAGUUUAAGAAUGUGCGCAAUUAUUAUUAUAGGAACAUACAACAGAUAGAUUUUUUUCCACCUGCAAUGAAGGUGCAGACCCUGUAAAAUCUAUAAAAUUACAUUAUGUUCUGGAAGCCUCUGAAGGAAGAGUACGGCGCCUCUUAAGCUUGGCCAUGAGCUUCUCGUGGUCUCCCAAAAUUCUUUCAUUGGAGACCUGCAGCAUGUCUAGCCUUCUCAGUGUAUCAACGGAGUACGAACUCACCAGUUUCAACAAGGAAUUAUUCUCUCCUUUAAGUUUCUCAACCUCCUGUUGAGACUCAUGAAGCAUUCUUUGAAGAGACGAAUUUUCAGUUGUCAGCUUCUCAACCUCGUUUGCUCUAGCACGCAAACGAUCAGCCAUGUUAGAAACAGAAGCAGCACUCUGAAUGCUAAAAGCCAUUGAGUCAUCAAUAGCCUCUUCCUCAGACCUCCCUGUUAACAGCAUUUCAUCCAUUGGAGUAAUGAAAUUCCUAGCUACUAUGACAGCAGUAGCAUCAUUCAUCAUCACAGAAUCAUUAACUGUGAGAUGACGAUUUUGGGAUACAAAGGAUGGACGCCAAACUUGGGCAUCAUUGGUAGUUGUGGGAGCAUCAUUUAAAUUGAAAUAAUUUGGGCAUGAAGAAGAGGAAGCCAUUUUUGAGAAGGUUUCGAAGAAAGUCUUAGGAAAACUAAAGUUUCAGAAAAUGAAGAAAUUUGAGUUGAAACGCAGUUGCUCCAAUCAAGUUUUGCAAAGGCCAUAUCUAUAGGAGGAAAUAUGGCUACUGUUUUUCAGGACCCCAAUAUCUUCUCGAAUCCCCAUAUUAUCUUUUUCUUUCACAAAGUCCAAAACUUCACGUGGCCUCUAAUAAUGCCUGUCGGCACUUUCGGGGUUUUCAAGUAUUAUUUUCAAAGCCGAUCUUGCUUUACGGAUUUCACGGAGCUACUUUUUCAAAAGCAUCCCGAGAAUCUCGCAAUUUUCCUAUGGUUAAUUUGAAAUUCACCGGGUUCUACCUAUUCAUUGUAAUUUGUUGUAUAAUUGUGUUACUAACGAAAUUUUCNNNNNNNNNNNNNNNNNNNNNNNNNNNNNNNNNNNNNNNNNNNNNNNNNNNNNNNNNNNNNNNNNNNNNNNNNNNNNNNNNNNNNNNNNNNNNNNNNNNNAUGCGAUAUCUACUUGUUUUUCUCAUCAGUGAGCACGCAAUAUGCCCGAGAAGCAAGAUUAUCUCUGAUCAUCCAUUCAGGAAGCAAGACUAUCCCUGAUCAUGUUUCCGCUACAUCAGGGAACUGUGAAGGCGACCUUAUGCUCUAAUCUCCGGAAGUCCUUCUAGACUAGGAGAUAUGAGAGCUUAUUGUCUGCUCCCACCAGCUUCCUUCCCUGAUUGCUUACCUUACCUUGCAAUCAAUAUCACAAUUUUUGUAUCUUUUCUUUCUUUUUAUAACUCUUUGUUCAUAAGAGAUUUUAUUUCUUUAGAAUGAACAUCUGAAGAAUGAAUCCAUGCAGUGAUCCUAACUCUGAGAGUUAUUUGUUUUUGACAGAGAAGAGAAUUGUGAUUUUUGCUCUUGCAGGAUAUAACAAGAUCAUCAAGCGAUACUUUAUAUUUACUGGGCCGAUACGAGCUUGAAUGAUACUUGAGAAAAGUUUCUCCCACCUAAGGAUGUAAGCAAUACUUGUGUUAUUUUAUGCUUAUAUACCUAUUUGAUAUUUUAUCUUGAAAGGUAACCAAAUUGGGAGAUAAGUCCGUUCCAAAAGAAUGGCUUGUAUGUAUCCAUGAAUUAUUAAAGCAAAUUUUACAGAUUGCAAGUUGGAUACAUUGAUAAUACACUGCACAGAUUAAAGUCCCAUAAGAACAGAAUAUGGGUAUAGCAGUGAUCAAUAUGGGUGCACGCCUGUUGCGUAGCAAAUGAUAUGGAUUGAAGUCCCGAAAGGACAAUCCUUUGACAUGUCAAUAUUGAUAUUAUGCACGCCUAAUGCGUAGCAAAUUAUAUGGGUUAAAGUCCCAUAAUAUGGGUUAAAGUCCCAUAAAUUAAUUGACAUGUGUGUAUUAAUCUGUGGCAUGACAGAUAUAUGGGUUCUAAAUGUUCCAACUCCCUAAAUGGAGAUUAUCGACGCUCUACGAUAAAAUAACGCUUCAUUGGAGGUUAUAAUCCACAUUCUCACAUAAUAAAAGCCCUCUGAAGUGGUUUGGGUACCCAAAAGCAAAGAAAUGCUUAUAAUUGAUGCAUGCGCAUGCAAAUGAGAAUGGUGAGAUCAUGAAUUGAUGAAUGACAAUUUUUGGUUUUGGAGUAGCUACUCAAAUCAUCAAUGGGCUGUGUUGAUUGGAACCACGUUCAAUUAUUAAAUGUCGACAAUAUUAUUGGCCAAAAUGGAACGAGGUAAUUCCAUUAUAAAUGAGAAUGAACGUGAAAGAACAAACCCACAGUACGAACCCCAAAUUUGUCAAUACUGAAAGUUAUACUUGGGUGUUCGGAAUAAAAGGGAAUAUACCUACUUUGUAUGACACAAUGUUUCUGGCAGAAACAAGGAAUGUUGGGUUUUCUCCAUAUUUAUAGAUUCAAUUGUGCCCCCCUUAUUACACAAUUACGGAGACCAACAUAUUAUCUUUAAGGGUUAUUAAAUGCACAGAGCAUAUCACCUGAAGUGAUUCCCUAAAGAUGUAUAAAUAGCUGGGUUAAAGCUAUAUAAUGUGUCAUAAAGUUUAAUCCCUUUUAAACAAAAUCCGUUGAGCAGAUUGACAUUGCAUAAAGCAAGUCCCUAAAGGACAUGUGCUUGAAGCACAAAAUUUGUACUCAAUAUUAAUAUGCAUAAAUUACCUCAGUGAGUACAUUGAUUAUAAUGUGAUUGCAACACAUUAAAGCUUCUGCAGAAUUCACGAAAUAUUUGUCUCGACUUAAAGAUCGAGCAUUAUGCCAACGAGAUUCUUGCUUAUACUGAGAAAGUAUUGAAGCAUUUUUAUGAGGAUUAUCCGUUGGGCACUUUAAGGAUUUUCCGGAAGUAUAUUGGACCGGACAUCAUAUUUUCCAGAUAAGGCUCAACUCCAUCACCAUCAUUUUGGGAUGAUGUGAGGUAUAUUUGAUGCUAUCUCCGCAUAACACCAUGUAUGGGCAUAUUCUUUCAUAUGAUCUUACAAAUAGCCCAGGUUUUGUUGGAAACGCGGACUCUGAAAAUUUUUAUGAUUUCCAUAGAGAUAGCUUACUGGAAAUAUAUUUACUAUAUGAAUUGUUGGUGGCUACAUCAUUCACUCACUCCGAAAGAUUCUCACUCCAAAGAUAGUUAUGAAGACAUCAGGGGGAGAUAUUAAUCAGGGGGAGCAUCCAGAAGUAUGCUAUACAGAUUGUUGUACUCUUCUUUCCAUCAGUUCUCUACCUUACUAGGUUUUCUCCAAGCAAGUCUUUAAUGAUACAACCAACAUAUCAUUAGUGGUCUCCAAGGGGGAGUGUUGUAAAAGAAUAAACAUGUGGAGCCCACUAACUAUUCAUUACUAUUCAUUUGGAGACUUUUGGUAGAGUUUGUCUGUCACGGGUGAAUAGUGAAUAGUGAUGAAUAGUGAUUAUUUCAGCCUAUAAAUAAGAAGAGAAACGGAAAGAGAAGGGAAGAAAAAAAGAAGAGGAAAGAAAACAAAGAAAAAAGGAAACGGAGAGAAGAAAAGGAAAGAAGGAAAGAGAGAAGAAAAGGAAAGGAGGAAAGAGAGAAGAAAAGGAAAGAAGGAAAGAGAAGAGGAAAGGGAAAGGAGGAAAGAAAAGAGGAAAGAGAGUCAGGCAGAGAAGAGGAAGAGAAGGUAGAAAUAGGGUGAGUGAGCAGAGAGAAAAUUCAGUGAGCCACACAUAUUGUAAACACUAAAGUUGUAGCCCUAUUAUUUUACAUAGUGGAAAAGUUACUAUUGCUGCUCUCCGGGGACGUAGGCAUAGCCGAACCUCGUUAAAUACUGUGUCUCAUCUACUUUACGUGCAGCUCAAUAUUCGCACAUAUUCCAGGUCAUUUUAUAACAAAGAUAAGUUUUUUAUAUUAAUUUUUCAAUUUUUUAAUUAAAUAAGUAAUUAAUUAAUUAAUAUUAUUAUUAAUACUAGCCCCU
rnacentral:lncRNA from 1 species